UGGCGGGCUAGCCAGGGUGGUUCGGCGUCACCUGUAACUCGAAAUCGCCGAUAUGCGAGAGGCGAAGCUUGAGGAAGACGUUCUCGACUACGAUUCAGCCCAAGAACUCUACUGUGAAGCCCCGUCCUACGGGGUCAGUAUUUGAUGUGGGGCUAACUGGAGAGCUUGCCUUCACAUCUUAACCAUGGGCAUCGGUUCAGGUCCGGGAGGGAGCAGACCCACCGUGGAAAACUGCCGCUCGGAGGAGUGCGGGGUGGAGACAAGUUUUUGGAUCACUGACCGUAGAAGGAACGACGACUGAGAGCGUGCCCGCCA
rnacentral:SRP_RNA from 1 species